GUGGCUUGCGCUCCGGUACCAUGCGCUAAUGUUUACAGAAAGUAGGUAUGGCUCGUAGAAGCGGUGUGGUUCAGCCAUACCAAUAUGAUCCAGAAUCUGACCCAGAAGGAGAGGCUCCUGAAGAAAUUCAAACUCUGCGGCUGCAGCAGGACGUUUCUGAAUGAAGCUGAGAAUAUCUGCUGUUUGGAGAUACCACAGGUAGUAUCGCCACACCCAAAGAGAAAACUGGAACGGGGAUGGCCAAUACUGCAUCUGUGUAUGGUGCUGGGUCCACAAACACUUUACGGUUGAGAGGAAUACACCAUUGUUACAGG